rnacentral:rRNA from 1 species
UACGUAGGGGGCUAGCGUUGUCCGGAAUCAUUGGGCGUAAAGAGCGUGUAGGCGGCUCGGUAAGUCCGCUGUGAAAGUCCAGGGCUCAACCCUGGAAUGCCAGUGGAAACUGUCGAGCUUGAGUCCGGAAGAGGCGAGUGGAAUUCCUGGUGUAGCGGUGAAAUGCGCAGAUAUCAGGAGGAACACCAAUGGCGAAGGCAGCUCGCUGGGACGGUACUGACGCUGAGACGCGAAAGCGUGGGGAGCAAACAGG